GUAGGGAAUAUUGCACAAUGGAGGAAACUCUGAUGCAGCGACGCCGCGUGAGUGAUGAAGGCCUUCGGGUCGUAAAGCUCUGUCGCAGGGGAAUAACACAAUGAAGGUACCCUGUAAGAAAGGAUCGGCUAACUUCGUGCCAGCAGCCGCGGUAAGACGAGGGAUCCUAGCGUUGUUCGGAAUCAUUGGGCGUAAAGCGGAUGUAGGUGGCUAUGUAAGUCAGAUGUGAAAGCCUGGGGCUCAACCCCUGAAGUGCAUUUGAUACUGCGUAGCUUGAGUGUCGGAGAGGUUACUAGAAUUGUUGGUGUAGUGGUGAAAUACGUAGAUAUCAACAGGAAUACCGGAGGCGAAGGCGGGUAACUGGCCGAACACUGACACUGAGAUCCGAAAGCGUGGGGAUCAAACAGGAUUAGAUACCCUAGUAGUCC
rnacentral:rRNA from 1 species